CAUUUUUAAAUACAGUUGAUGACUUGAGUUUUAUGACAACGUAAAUCUUCUGAGACGAUUUAUAAGAACGAGAGUGUCUUCACCUCUAGCAUUCAGGGCGCGUCUGGUGGCCAACGUGAAGCCUCGGCCUCCAGCUUUACGCCUGUCCACGCGGGCCUCUGUAUUUCACACAUUUCGGGGCGCCAGGAACGACUGAGGCUGGAAGGCGUUGUCGAGCACACGCGCAGCCGUGGCGGGCACUCGGGUGGACUGAGCUGGGCCAGGGGCGGGACGCUGAGCGCCAGGGGCGCCUGAUGGGGACCGGAGGGAGGACUCCGUGCCCCGUCUUGUUCCCUGCUGUCCCCGUGGAAACCGGUCCCCUGCUGGACGCAGGUCCCGCUACAGCUGGCGGGGCAGGAGGCGCCGAGACUCCAGUCCCGGAGGGGACGCCGGGGCUGGAGUCCCGCGGCGCGGCUGCUGAGGCCGAGGGUGCCCCGUGCCUGCGGCUGUCGCGCCAGCCCACGCACGGGUGCUCUCGCACGGUACAGCGCACCCGUGGAAAGCGCGUGGUUCUGUGGAUUUUACGUAGCACAGGGUUGUGCAGCCGUGACCACCGAUUUCAGGGUUUUUCACCCUCGCGAGGAAUUCCGUACCCGUUCGCUUCCCGUUCUCCCUCCCCCAAGUUCCCACCUUCUGUCUCUGGACGUGUCUGUCUCGGAGUUUAGUAUAAAUGGGAUCGUACGCUACGUGGCCUGGCGUGCCGGCAGCUUUCACCGGGCGGUGUCGAAGUCUGUGCACGCUGAAGCACGGGCCACCUCUUCACUGCUGGCCGCAUCAGGCUCCACGUGUUCUGUAUCCGUCGUCCACGGACACUUGGGUUGUUUCCACGUCUUGGCCGUUGUGAGCAUUCGUGCACAAGUGUCCGUGUGGAUGGAGGUGUUCUGUUCUCUUGGGGACUCAUCUGGGAGUGGAGCUGUGGGUCCCGUGUGUGUGCACAGGUGAGCACAGGGCCCGGUCUGAGGGUGGCACCUGCAGCCUGGGCCCCGCUAUGCCCGGGGGACGGGGGCUGAGUGGCCGGGAAAGGGUGGGGCCAGAAUGGCGGGCGUCGCCCGUGGAGAAGCCGGUUAUUUGCGGAACUUACGUGAAGUGCGACUUUGAUUUGUGGUUCUAGUCUGGCGAGGCACGAACAGGGUGGUCACGAGGCCGCCCCGUCCAGGUUUAAACUUCGUGGCACAGCUUCUGUGCACCCUGCCUCCUUGUCUGCGGACUCCCGUGUGUCCCUCCCUUUGCCACAGGCCUGGACCACCUGCCUGCCAGUCGUGACCUCCCGUUUGUGUUUUCUGAACGCGGAAAGCGGCGCACAGAUAUGCACACCCAAACGCGGGAGUACCAAGCGCGGAGGGCAGAGCGCCCCCUGCCGAGUCCCCCAAGUAACCACUAUUCACAAGUGUGAGGCCUGGUGAGUGACCCACUGGACAGAUGCCCUCGGGCUUGCUGACCCGUUUUGUCUGCCGAGCGGCCGUCACACAAGAGCCGCUCCUCGGGUGACCACAGGAGAGCCCUGCUAUGGCCUUCCUCACCUGGCCGGCUUCCUGUCCAGCUGGUUGCCCCGGAUGCCAUCGGAGAGGCACAGGCCUCUUUGGAAAAUGACCGCUCGGCCUCUCAGUACCGCCUGGUCCCGGGUCUGGAAACAUCUGGGUCCUGCCCGGCUGGAAAGACGGGGCGUGACCCCCUGGAUCUCUGUCCUCGGCCGCGAGAAGGUGACCCACCGCUGGAAAUUCCCAUGGCAAGUGUCGGUGUUGACAAGAGUCCCUGAGAAAGUGGUGGCCAGGGGGCUGUGUGCCGAGCCCUCGAGGCCUUUCCCCUCGGGCUCUCCUUCUUCUGUCCUCUGUCCUCUGUCCUCUGCCGCGGCCUCCCUUCCCUCCACCUGUCCCCUCUGUGCGGCCGGCCCCUCGGCCUUCGAGCCGCUGGCGGGCCCUCCCAGGGCUGCUCUGUCCCCCAGCUCUGCACACCUCUCUCCUCCCUCCUCCUUGUCGCCUGCCUGGCUCUGGGUCACCCCCUUACUUGGUUCCAAAGAGUGAGCCCCGACUUGCCCAUGAGGGUGCUCAGAGGGGGCGGAGUCGGCGGCCGCGUCUCUGGACAGGCGUCUCUUCAAGGAGCCUGAAUCCGUGACGUGAAAGUGUGAAGGGCUCUUCCACUCCGGCUCCCCGCUCCUGCGUGAGCGGACACAUCUCCAGACAGCGAGCCGUCAGGGUUCCGGCAGGAAAUUAAAGACCUGGCCCUGCACCUGCACGGCCCGCUGGCCUCCGCCAGAGGCUUUGCUUCCCGGGUGCGUGGAGGCCGCAUCUUUGAUAGGAUCCCUUCCCCAGAUCUCUCGAAGGAAGGUGGACGCGUGUCUUGUAGAUAAGCGAGCUCACAGUAAGGCUGGCGGUUCUCAUUUCGGUGCGAGCCAGCGUCUCACCCCUUCUUAUCUGAGUCACAAGGACACUGGGCCGGCACCGUCCUCGCUGUCUACACUGGGGAGCUGUCCCGGUGGGGGAGAAUCCUUAUGGUGAGUGCAUCUGGGCCUCCGGCUGGUCUGGUGGACGCAGUGCUGGGCUCGCUUCCUCCUUGAAUCUCUGAUUCCUUGAUUCAGUGCUCAACCGGUCAGCAUCUGCUUCAGAGGAAGACAGGCCCCAGUCUAGCCAACAUGGCCCCCACCUGCCUCGGUGGGUGAUUGGGUUAGCUCUGAGCAUGUAACCUGUUUUUGACUAGUGAGACACGGAGGACAGUUUUCUGAGACGGUUUUCCUCUAUUAAAAGAAGAUCCAAGA